UGUGAGGGAACCUUUUAGUCCAAUUGGCAGGGGUGUGCUGGUUUUUCCCAUCCUCGCCAGGAUGGAUCACAGCACAGGGGACGGCUUCUUAAGGAACCUUGACAGAGAUGCCGUUUCCUUGUAAACAAGUUUAAUACCCUGUCUGCAGGUUGUAACAGGUUGUCAUAGAGAAUAACGCUGAUGGAACCUGAUCUGAAUUGCACUUGGACCACUGCAGUUCAUUGAGUGAAGUGAUUCUACUGAUUGGCAUUGAAAGCAUCAUCUGGUCUUUCACCUCCAGUGUGCAGGAUAAGCACAACAUUCUGUAAGAACACGAAGCAUUUCAAAUACCGUAUUUUACGGACUAUAAGACUCUAUGGACUAUAAGACACAC